AAUGCUGUUGCCACUGUUUUGAGGUUGUGAGUUGUUGUUUGACAUGAGGUCUUAGGUUGGCCUGAGUUGGAUCUGAACAUCAGCCUGGGCCCGCCCUCCAGAGCCUCCUGUGGCCUCCAGAGAAGAACUAAAGAACUCUGUUGACUCAGUACUAAGAAGUAAUUUGGAGACCACGUCUGAGACAGCAGCAGGCAGGAGGGGACUCACACCACUUUCUGGAUGCCCGAGGCUGUGUACGUCAGGCCUUGGAGCUGGACGAUGGCAUCCACCAGGCUCUGAGGGCUCAGGCUGCUCUUGAAUUCCGUGAAGUUGUGCCGGGCCUCCUCCCUGCACCUGUGUCACCCUACCACAGGCCACAGUGUACAGUAUUCACCGAGGUGCUGGUGCUCGCCAACUGGCCCAUCAAAGCUUUGACGAAGUCCUUCAUCUGGGUAAAGUCACUUUGAUCAAUGCUGCCGGAGCCAUCAAUCAGGAAAGCAAUGUCCAUCUCUUGUCCUGGACACUCUGCGGUGAGAGAGAAGAGUCAGAUGCAUGCAUGGGCCUCAACUGUGUCCUGGGGUCCCAAAUACCUUCUUACUCAACAGAGGAAGGAUCCCCAACUCUGCAAUCAUUCACUCAAAUCCUCAUUAAAUACACACUCUCUCGGGCGUUAUAAAGCACAGGAGGAAAGCUGGUUCAGGGUUACAUUCUGGCACCAAAGUGCCUGUCCCUGAACCCCAGCUCUGCCGCUUCCGAGCUGAUGAAUUUAGGCAAGUAGCUUAAUUUCUCUGGCCUUCAGCUUCCUGUCUCUAAGAUGAGGAUCACAGUAGUGCCUACCACAUCAGAUUAUUACAACAGCAAAUAUCUACAUUAGCACAGGGGAUGGAUGGCCUUCUGUAAGGAUUAUUGUCCCUACAAUCGUACGUGGCAGGAAUUCUCAAGGCUUGCAGAAUGCACCAGCAGAGAAUAAUGGGUUAGCCACCAGGUCCAUCCCCUUCCAACACUAAGGCCUUCAUUUCCAGCUACAUGGAGCCAGCCAGCUAUAGCUCUCAGCAUCCCAAGAAUCCCUCUGGACAGGUGUGUUGCUAGGGUUACGCCCUGCAUAUGGGGUCAACCGGUGUCCAAGCUCCCAGGUCCUGGAAGCAUCUAUAAGAACCACAUUACCAUUCACCUUGCUGUUGUGUGACAAGCCUUUCCAGAUGCAACCCAGAGUCACCCCCAGAUAGGGAACCACAUGAGACCAAAGUAGCAAUUGCAUCACAGUCUAGUUUAGAGUUUCUAACGGGAGCAUGGUGAGUGGUCCCUGACAGGAGCAAAGGUGACUCAAAAGCCACUGUGCCACCAAAAAGCCCACCCAAGCACAGGUCCCAGAGAGCACAUGAAAGCUUCAGGCUUUGAGCUCUCUGCCCACGUUGCAGGCAGCUUACGAGCCUCUCACCCCUUCCUGCAGAGAAUGCUUGCGUGGGAAGGGAAGUGCUAACCUUGCCUUCCACCCAGACUGCUCUCCUCCUGCUUACCGACAUGGCUCUCAAGAAUAUUCUCAAACCUCAGAAUCUGUUUCUGGGAAGACCUGGCUGCAUAGCCCUAACUUUCAACAAGAUACUACCUCUGGCCUCAUGGAGUUCACACUGUAAGGAGAAAGACGUACUGCAUGCACAUACAUAAGCAGGGCCUUUCAGAUUGUCCCCUCAUUCACACAGAGGUCAUGGACUGUGUGCAGGACCCUGCUGUUGCCUCCACUAACACCUACAUCCUGUGUGAGGCACGGGGUGGCGAGCAAGCUGACCAGCACAACACUGAGGUGUCACACCCAGGCCUCAAAGCUACAACCUGCCUCCCACCUGCCCUCAAAGUGAAAAGGCUUUUUCCUCUCUCUGCUCCCCCACCCCCCACUUUGUCUGCUCCUCUCACCAGAGCCUCAAGCAUGCUGGGAGAAGUGGGGGAUCGCCACUUCCCCUUCUGCUUCUGCAGUGACCACAGUCUUGGGUAUCUCCUCUCCUGUGGGCCUAGGGAUGUCUGGUGCGUGUGGCGUAGGUGACAACAGCCAACCGUUACAGAGAGCCGCCAGACCCUGUACUCAUCAUCUCAUAUACAUACUAAUUAAUUUUAUUGUUGCAGUAACCUAAUGCAGUAGACACUACUGCAUUACCCCCCACACACCUGAGUAGCCAUUGUCCUGUAUUUCUGCUUAUGCUUUCAGCCUAUAAUAAAGUAGCCAUCCUUUUUUUCUAUCAGGUUUAUGGCAAGCUCUGUCAAAU